rnacentral:rRNA from 1 species
GACGAACGCUGGCGGCGUGCUUAACACAUGCAAGUCGAACGGAAAGGCCCCUUUGGGGGUAUUCGAGUGGCGCACGGGUGAGUAACACGUGAGUAACCUUCCCUCGACUUCGGGAUAACUUCAGGAAACUGGGGCUAAUACCGGCUAGGAAUCCUUGCUGCAUGGUGGGGGUUGGAAAGCUUCCGCGGUUUCGGAUGGACUCGCGGCUUAUCAGCUUGUUGGUGGGGUAGUGGCUUACCAAGGCUUUGACGGGUAGCCGGCCUGAGAGGGCGACCGGCCACAUUGGGACUGAGCUACGGCCCAGACUCCUACGGGCGGCAGCAGUGGGGAAUCUUGCACCAUGGGCGGAGGCCUGGUGCAGCAACGCCGCGUGCGGGAUGACGGCCUUCGGGUUGUAAACCGCGUUCAGCAGGGGCGAAGCUUGUGGUGACGGUACCUGCAGAAGAAGCACCGGCUAACUACGUG